rnacentral:lncRNA from 1 species
CUAUAGUAGGUAAAAUUAAAUAACUAAUUAAUCAAUAGGUACAAAUGAAAGAAGAUACCUUCAUGAUUGCUGAACAACAAUGCUCACCCUCAGUAUUUAGAGGAUACAAGUUCUUCAAGUUAAGUUUUCCUCUGUGCAGCUGUGUCUUCAUCUAG